rnacentral:rRNA from 1 species
UUGAACGCUGGCGGCAGGCCUAACACAUGCAAGUCGAGCGCGAAAGUUCUUCGGAAUGAGUAAAGCGGCGGACGGGUGAGUAACGCGUGGGAAUCUGCCUAGUAGUGGGGGACAACAGCCGGAAACGGCUGCUAAUACCGCAUACGCCCUACGGGGGAAAGGGGGGGAUCUUCGGACCUCUCGCUAUUAGAUGAGCCCGCGUCGGAUUAGCUAGUUGGUAGGGUAAAGGCCUACCGAGGCUACGAUCCGUAACUGGUCUGAGAGGAUGAUCAGUCACACUGGAACUGAGACACGGUCCAGACUCCUACGGGAGGCAGCAGUGGGGAAUAUUGGACAAUGGGGGCAACCCUGAUCCAGCCAUGCCGCGUGUGUGAAGAAGGCCUUAGGGUUGUAAAGCACUUUCAGUGGGGAGAAAGGUUUGUCACCUAAUACGUGAUGAAAUUGAUGUUACCCACAGAAGAAGCACCGGCUAACUCCGUGCCAGCAGCCGCCGCAG